UACGUAGGGUGCGAGCGUUAAUCGGAAUUACUGGGCGUAAAGAGUGCGUAGGCGGUUCUUUGUGUCCGCUGUGAAAGCCCCGGGCUUAACCUGGGAAUGGCAGUGGAAACUAGAGAACUUGAAUCUGGCAGAGGGGGGUGGAAUGCCACGUGUAGCAGUGAAAUGCGUAGAUAUCUGGAGGAACACUGAUGGCGAAGGCAGCCCCCUGGGCUAACACUGACGCUCAUGCACGAAAGCGUGGGGAGCAAACAGG
rnacentral:rRNA from 1 species